rnacentral:rRNA from 1 species
GAUGAACGCUGGCGGCGUGCCUAAUACAUGCAAGUCGAGCGAACGGACGAGAAGCUUGCUUCUCUGAUGUUAGCGGCGGACGGGUGAGUAACACGUGGAUAACCUACCUAUAAGACUGGGAUAACUUCGGGAAACCGUAGCUAAUACCGGAUAAUAUUUUGAACCGCAUGGUUCAAAAGUGAAAGGCGGUCUUGCUGUCACUUAUAGAUGGAUCCGCGCUGCAUUAGCUAGUUGGUAAGGUAACGGCUUACCAAGGCAACGAUGCAUAGCCGACCUGAGAGGGUGAUCGGCCACACUGGAACUGAGACACGGUCCAGACUCCUACGUGAGGCAGCAGUAGGGAAUCUUCCGCAAUGGGCGAAAGCCUGACGGAGCAACGCCGCGUGAGUGAUGAAGGUCUUCGGAUCGUAAAACUCUGUUAUUAGGGAAGAACAUAUGUGUAAGUAACUGUGCACAUCUUGACGGUACCUAAUCAGAAAGCCACGGCUAACUACGUG